GGCAGACAACCAAUGGGCCUGGAGCCUAAUGGGGAGGAAAAGGGAAAAAAAAAAAAAAAGAAAAAACAGGAAUCAGGACACACCAAUGAGGCGCAGCCUGGAGAGGGAGCACAGUCCGGAGGAGAGGAGACUGAGAGAAAGAGGGAGCUCGCAUGGAAAGAUAGAGAUGGAGGGAGGGAGAGAGAGAAGAACCGUGCAUAGAGGAUGAGCACGGCAGGAGGAGAGAGGCAAGAAUCCCAGGCGAGAUGGAGAGGCUGCAGAUCAGAAAGAACAAAAAGAAAAAGACAGAGAGGAAGGAAGGAGCCGACUUACCCGGACAAAGGCCUAUAAUGUCCCACCUCUCAUCCGUUGACUGCUGGAGAUGGGCAACAGUUCCCCUGGCCACACUGUAUUGCCAUAAGAGAUUUAUCUGGAAGUGAAGAAAUGUGUUAACUGGUUAUAGGAUAGUGGGAUAAGUAGAAGACUGAGAAUCCCAGAGCGGCAGAACCAGAUGGUGGACAGGCUCAGCUUUUCAGAAUUAUCUGUGCUUGGUAUUCAUUUUAAAAUAUAAUACAAUAAAGUUUUCCAGAACUUUAAAGCAGAUAAGGCACACAAGGACAAGGGGUACAAGGGAAGGAAAGAAGGAAAGAAGGAAAGAAGAAAAGACAGAAGGAAGGAAGAAAGAAAGGAUCGAAGGAAGGAAUGAUGGAAGACACAAAUAAAAAGGAACGCAUGGAUGAAAAGGUGACAUGCUGCAAUUACAAUCUUUAAACAGUUUAUUAUUAUUA